UAAUCAAAAUGAAAGGGACGUACUACUAAUACGCCCCUAGUAUAGAACCGUUUAAGACGGUAGCAGUUUAAUAAGUUUAAAUA
rnacentral:sRNA from 1 species